AUUACGCGUCAAAGCUGCAAACUGGGAAUCGAAAGCUUGUACUUUUAAUCAAUAUUUAGAACCAGAGAAUAUCUAAAAACUUACUCAUUAUGGAAAAUACAGUAAACAAACGCUGUUUGUUGGUCACUAGCAAAAUUGCCUCGUUGUUUUGGGCUCAGUGCCAGUGUUGACUUUGUCUUUGAGCUUUCGCUAUCAAUCAAAAUCUACAAAGCGGCCAGGCGGUGCUGAAAUAUUACAUGCUAUACUUACUUCCAGCUUUCGAAUCUCAAGAAACAAGAUGGAUUUUUAUGGUGAUUAAGAUUUAAGCAAAGUUUCUAUAUAAUUUUAGUUUCUCGUUUCGUGUUGACAUAUUUAUUUGCUCUGACUGCAUUGCUUGAUUCUUAAAUCGGAC